CCGAAUGUGCAUGACACAGCGAAGCGAACCUUGGAAGUUAUUUUUUAUUCUUCAGUCUGCAUAGCUGCGAUUAUGAUAAAUGAACUCGCUUAAUCUUCAUGAUUUACUCCUCCACUGACAGUUACCGAGAUUAUUCGUCUGACGCUCAAUUCCUACGUAAACUACACUGCGCGGUGAUAACAGAAUCAACUUGUUCUCGAGCGUCAGAGAUCAGGAAGUGAUCGCUCGGGAAAUUUCGCCGUGACGAAGUUUAAGUUAUAAAAGCAUGGACCAGUGCUAUAGUUAAUUAGUUGUGUCGUAGAGAAAAAUGAAAUUCAUCAUAUUCACGAUUUUGAUGAUCUGUGUUGUCUCGGGAACAGGCAGAUCUAUCGAUGCGAGAUUGAAGCAAGUCAAGGAUGGGGUUGGAGCGAUUGUUGUGCCCUUCCAUGAGGGAUCUCCCACUGGAAAGGACUCUUCUGUUACGAAUUACAAUUUCAUCAUCAGAGCACCAGCUCCCCCUCGGCCGCGUCCAACACUUUCAUGGAGAGCACGGAGAGACCCAUUUGAUUCAAACAUCCAAUAACUGGGACGUACGUGUGCUAGCUAAAAGGAAAACCGGAUGUUGACGAAGGCUAUGCAGAGAUAACUGGAUUUGAAAUUAUUAUAUCGGUGUUUUUUCAUUGUUGAAGGAUAAAC